GAAUUUACUUUUGUUAACAUAAAUCUCAAAUAGACGGACGGAAAUUAGUUUAAUUUCCAACAUAGACAUCAUUUGUGUCAUGUUCAUCGUUAAGAUUAAAUAAUUAAGAUAUAUUUGAUUUGAUUAUAAUUUUAAAAUAAAAUAUUUAAAAGUAGUUUUUAAUACCGAGGAGUAUGACUGGGCGAGGGGGGCAAGGAGCGUGAAGACGCGUUGCUCUUGGGGGCAGACAGGGAGUGCGCAGAGCCCGCGCGUCGCAGACCCGCCACCAACGCACUCAUUGCACCCCCGCCUUUAUAUCACAAAAAAAUUUCUCGUCGUCAUCGGAAUCAGGGUCUAUUACGAUGUCUGGUUCAGUCAUAAUUAACUCUGGAGGAGAAAAAUUUCCGCUGACAGUCUGAUCUGGAAGAAAUUAUGAAUAUUGGACUAAGAAUUAACUAAAAAUUGGUCGCAAAUCGUAUGUUUAUCAGAUUAUCAGAUAUUGUUUAAAAGUCUAUCAUAAAAUUUUAUAUAUAUAUAUAUAAGAUUUUGUAUAUUCAGCGGAAACUUGUGUCUCUAUAGUAAAUAAAGUAUUAAAUUAAUAUUUAAUUUACUUUAUUUCAAGUUAUAUUUUAAUAAAAAAAAAAUCCUGAAUUUUAGUUGAGUUUUUAAUACUCAACUUUAAAAUUUGUUUUGCUUUAACAAUCAUUAACAUGCGACCGAAAAAUGACUUGUUUACGUGAAAUGGUUUCAGUUAUUAUUAGAUUCAAUAACUUCAAUUCACAUUAUACUGAAAUUAAAUUAUUUACAUCUAAA